UACGUAGGCAGCAAGCGUUGUUCGGAAUUAUUGGGUGUAAAGGGCGCGUAGGCGGUGCGGUAAGUCACCUGUGAAAUCUCCUGGCUCAACUGGGAGCUUGCAGGCGAAACUGCCGUGCUGGAGUGUGGGAGAGGUGCGUGGAAUUCCUGGUGUAGCGGUGAAAUGCGUAGAUAUCAGGAGGAACACCUGUGGCGAAAGCGGCGCACUGGACCACAACUGACGCUGAGGCGCGAAAGCGUGGGGAGCAAACGGG
rnacentral:rRNA from 1 species